rnacentral:lncRNA from 1 species
CUGAAAGCAGUAAAAGCAGAAAUCAGCUCACGAAGAAAAGUUUUCAGAUUACUUUAUAUGGAAGCAUUUACCUUCAGACCGGCCAAAAGUAAUUGUGGUAGCAGAUGGAUCCUGUGGAGAGCCCAGUUCAGUUCUUGGGAUCAGCCCAGAUUACAUUAUGGAAUCCUGUAAUGCAUAUGGGGCAAAUGCAGCUAAUGAGAUCAGAGACAGAUUGUGAAGAAUAUAUUGCAUCAACCUUUCAAUGCCUACAGGACGGAUAUAGAAGCCAGGGUGAAUGAACUGACUGCAUCACAUCCUGUGUAGCAGGAGACUCUCUAAGAUCACAGC